rnacentral:rRNA from 1 species
AUUGAACGCUGGCGGCAGGCUUAACACAUGCAAGUCGAACGAGUGGCGGACGGGUGAGUAAUGCGUGGGAAUCUAGCUUACGGAGGGGGAUAACUACGGGCAACUGUAGCUAAUACCGCGUACAGUGGGCUGGGCCCUAGUGGGUUUAGGUAGUUGGUGAGGUAACGGCUCACCAAGCGGACGAUGCCUAGCUGGCCUGCGAGGCGGAGCAGCCACACUGGGACUGAGACACGGCCCAGACUCCUACGGGAGGCAGCAGUGGGGAAUAUUGCGCAAUGGGGGCAACCUGACGCAGCAAUGCCGCGUGAAUGAAGAAGGCCUUCGGGUUGUAAAGUUCUUUCGGUAGCGAGGCGUUAACUACAGAAGAAGCACCGGCUAACUCCGUGCCAGCAGCCGCGGUAAUAC